rnacentral:rRNA from 1 species
CAAGUCGAGCGAGAAAACCGGGGCAACUCGGUGAGUACAGCGGCGGAAGGGUGCGUAAUACAUGGUUAACGUACCCCCCAGUUCGGGAUAACCCUCCGAAAGGUGGGCUAAUACCGGGUAAUGGCAGCGGGUGGCAUCAUUUGCUGCUUAAAGUCGUAAGACGCUGGGGGAGCGGACCAUGGCUUAUCAGCUAGUUGGCGGGGUAACGGCCCACCAAGGCAAUGACGGGUAGCCGGACUGAGAGGUUGAACGGCCACACGGGAACUGAGACACGGUCCCGACAUCUACGGAUGGCAGCAGUAGGGAAUCUUGCGCAAUGGGCGAAAGCCUGACGCAGCGACACCGCGUGGGGGAUGAAGGCCUUCGGGUUGUAAACCCCUUUCAUGAGGGAAGAACACUGACCUAACCUCAGGAAGAAGCACCGGCUAACUCCGUGCCAGCAGCUGCGGUAAUACGGAGAGUACAAACGUUGUUCGGAUUCACUGGGCGUAAAGGGCACGUAGGCGGCUCGGCAAAUCGGUCGUGGAAUCCCGACGCUUAACGUUGGAACGGCGAUCGAAAAUACCGGGCUCGAGGGCGUGAGGGGUCACUGGAACUCCUGGUGAAGCGGUGAAAUGCGUAGAUAUCAGGAGGAACGCCGGAGGCGAAAGCGAGUGACUGGCGCGUUCCUGACGCUGAGGUGCGAUAGCUAGGGGAGCAAACAGGAUUAGAUACCCUGGUAGUCCUAGCCGUAAACGAUGAACACUGAGUGAAGGAGGGCUUGCCCUUCUUUGCUGCAGCUAACGCGUUAAGUGUCCCGCCUGGGGAGUACGGCCGCAAGGUUAAAACCCAAAGGAAUUGACGGGGGCUCGCACAAGCGGUGGAGCAUGUGGUUCAAUUCGAUGCAC